ensembl:misc_RNA Y_RNA Y RNA
GGCUGGCCUGAAGGUAGUGAGUUAUCUCAGUUGAUUGUUCAUAGUCAGUUACAGACGGAAUUCCUUGUUCUACUCCUUCCCUUCUUCUGCCUACUGCACUUGACUAGUCUUCA